GUUCUAUUCUUCAAAACACAUCCAUAUCCAAUCGUUACAAUAAAACAAGAGAACAAGAUAAACUAACAUAUCAUACAAAUACGGAAUGCAAUCCGCAUAUCAAUACACCAAAGACUGGUUAAGGAGAGAUAACUCUCAUAAAAGUAUGUUAACUUUACCAAACGACUUGACAUACCAAACUGACAUAUAACAUCCCCCCGAACAAAUAAACAAACCCCGUUUGUUUUCAAUGGUCAAGGCGUUUGGUCAUUUAAAAUAGUUCAAAAAUCUAUUAUUUUCAUAAAAAAUAAAGAUGGCUAAUUUAUGUUUUCCAAGCUAUUAUUCAUUCAAUCAAUAUCAAAUCUUUUACUAUACUCAAAAUAAAAAUCACUUCCUACUGCAUAUUCCACAAUACAAUUGGUUAUACAGAGCAAACUUUAAUAAAUGAUGACACCAGCAGAGACCUUGGCUCUUAUUAAAUGGAAAUACAAUUAAAGCAACACAAUGGCCAUAUACGCUGCCUCAAAAAAUACAACCAUAAAAAAUAGGUUAUUUCUGGUAUUGUACACCAAAUCCGUCAUUACAAAUGACAACAAUAUAAAUGCUCCUUAAAACGCAGUAUUUUCCUUUUAAUUGCAUAAAUGCAAUAUUUGCUAUUAAUCAAACUUCAAAAAUGACUAUUCAUUUGAAAGCAAACGUUAAAAUAUAUUUUUCUUCAACAAAAUGAAUUACUUAAAUUCAAAACUUUCUCUACUAAAUUAACUUCUCUUCUCAAAUCGUAACUGAUCCGUAACUAAAAAAUAUACAAUUAAGAAUAAAACUUCAACAAAAAAUCAAAAACAGUAACUUUGAAGUAAAAAUCUUUUAAAACUGC
rnacentral:lncRNA from 1 species